UACGUAGGGGGCGAGCGUUGUCCGAAGUUACUGGGCGUAAAGCGCGCGUAGGCGGUCCUUUAAGUCUGGGGUGAAAGGUUCAGCGCUCAACGUGAGCAGUGCCUUGGAGACUGGGGGACUUGAGUGUGGGAGGGGGCAGUGGAAUUCCUGGUGUAGCGGUGAAAUGCGUAGAUAUCAGGAGGAACACCGAUGGCGAAGGCAGCUGCCUGGCCUAACACUGACGCUGAGGUGCGAAAGCGUGGGGAGCGAACGGG
rnacentral:rRNA from 1 species